GACGUAGGUGGCGAACGUUAUCCGGAAUUAUUGGGCGUAAAGGGUGCGUAGAUGGCCUGAUAAGUUAACAGUGGUAAAUCGAGGCUCAACCUCGUGGAAACUGAUAAUACUGUCUGGCUCGAGUACAGAAGAGGUUAACGGAAUUCCAUGUGGAGCGGUAAAAUGCAUAGAUAUAUGGAAGAACACCAAUAACGGCGAAGGCAGUUAACUAUUCUGUUACUGACAUUGAGGCACGAAAGCCAGGGGGAGCAAAACGGG
rnacentral:rRNA from 1 species